AUAGCUUUUCAGUGGCGGCUGUGUGGCCCCCUGUCUCAGUCCGGACGGAGUUGUUUCUGACGUUUGAAUGAAAACCAGUGCAAAUUACCUCCACUUUGGACCCAGGAAAUAAUGGCUUCAGCCUUGGAGCAGUUUGUGAACAAUGUGCGGCAGCUCUCCGCUCAAGGCCAGAUGACUCAGCUGUGUGAAUUGAUCAACAAAAGUGGGGAGCUGCUGGCCAAAAAUCUGUCCCACCUGGACACGGUGCUGGGGGCCUUGGACAUCCAGGAGCACUCCUUAGGCGUGCUAGCUGUACUAGUUACCGUGGUGGUGCAAGCUUCAUUUCCUUACUGAUGAGAGGCGUAGCAAAGGGCGGAGGAGCUUUAAAUCUGGAUGCCAGCUCGUCAGGCUAAAACCAUGUGCUGCUGGAUCAUUGGGGGGGGCGCAAACCACUAUAAGUUAUCUUCAUUGUGUUAGGUCAGUUUUUCCCUCAGAUGAUCCCACACUGUUUCAAUAACAUUGAGGUUCAGACUCUGGAGAGGAUUCAUCCCUACCUACAUCAGACCUGCUGCUGAUUUUCAGUCCAGUUCUAGGGUCAUGUGACCUACCUCCGCCUUUUCUCCCUGUUUCCCUUCCUUAAGAAUGGCAGCUUGACAACCAUCCUUCCAUUUCAGAUGAGGCUUCAGUGGACAGCAAAAGGUUUGGAUGGAUCUAAGAACCUGCAUCAUAUCUUUACUGGAUUUGUUCCCGUUUUUUUUAAAUGAUAUGACUUUCAGAUAUUUUACGUUUUUGUGCUUUCUUUCUUUGGUGCUGGCUUUUUCCUCCACUUUGCCAAUACUAUUAUCUGUUUGUCAAACUGUCUUGGCUUAGGCAUUUUUCGUAGGUGGAAAUAAUAAAAAUGGGAACAAAUUG